rnacentral:rRNA from 1 species
AGUGAACGCUGGCGGUAGGCCUAACACAUGCAAGUCGAACGGCAGCACAGUAAGAGCUUGCUCUUACGGGUGGCGAGUGGCGGAUGGGAGAGGAAUACAUCGGAAUCUACACUUUCGUGGGGGUUAACGUAGGGAAACUUACGCUAAUACCGCAUACGACCUACGGGUGAAAGGAGGGGAUCUUUACAGCUUGCGCGAUUGAAUGAGCCGAUGUCGUGUUAGCUAGUUGGCGGGGUAAAGGCCCACCAAGGCGACGGUCGGUAGCUGGACUGAGAGGAUGAUCAGCGACACUGGAAGUGAGACACGGUCCAGACUCCUACGGGAGGCAGCAGUGGGCAAUGUUGGGCAAAAGGCGCGAACCUGGUACAGCCAUACCGCGUGGGUGACGGAAGCCUUCGGGUUGUAAAGCCCGUUUGUUGGGAAUGAAAAGCAGCAGGUUAAUACCCCGCUGUUGUGACGGUACCCGGAAAAUAAGCACCGGCUAACUUCGUG